AAGAACUUUCCGUUUAACCGAAAAGACUAAAUUUGCAUUACGUUAUUUGUGGUUCGCGAGAUAUUUGACCAAGAAAAAGACACCCAGAUUGACUUUGAGUUGAUUGUUUGUUGACUAGCAGACGACGAUAACUUUUAUCGGUGUGGCGUGUGGGUACUGGCUACUGGGGCGACUGGGUAUUCAUUGGAAUUCAUCGAUCUAAUGAUUCUAAUAAGAAAAAAAAACCAUGCCUCCAGUGUCACAACUGAUUAUUCCUUUACCCAUCAAAUGCCAGAUUGGCACAUAGUUCAAAUGUGGGUGCUGAAUGAACUGGUAAACAUAAAAAAUGGAAUUGACAAUAGAUUACAUUUAUCAUCAGACAUCUCUCCCUUUCCUAUGUCUUGAAGAUGACGACAAGUUGCCAGUUGAUUUACAUGUCACCUUUACUGAUAUCCUAGCACACCAUACUUUAUUUGGCAUAAAAAAAAGGUUUCCCUUCUGGGUUUCCCUCAUUUAAAAGGCCUUGAUGAUGUAAUGGUGCUAUGCCAAAAUUUUAUCAACGUAGAGAAAUUAAAGCUGCAGCUGUGGGAAAUGGAAUUGACAAUUACAUUCAUCACAGACACAUUUCAGUUUCAGAAAGUGGAGUUUUGUCUUGAAGAUGACAAAAGUUGCCCUUUGAUUUACAUGUCACCUUAAGUGAUGUCAUAGCAGCUACUUGUCAUUUAAAUAGUUUGUUACCAUACUUUAUUUGACAUGAUUGUUUUAUAGAGUUAUUUCAUUUUGGUUUUUUUUUCA
rnacentral:lncRNA from 1 species